rnacentral:pre_miRNA from 1 species
UGCUGCUGAUGCUGCUGCUGAUGCUGCUGUUGUUGUUGAUGCAAGCCAAAGCCCGUGGCUCCGUAGAACUGCUGCUGGCCAGCAACAGCAGCAGCAGCAGCAACACCCAUU